rnacentral:rRNA from 1 species
AACGAACGCUGGCGGCAGGCUUAACACAUGCAAGUCGAGCGCCCCGCGAGGGGUUCGGCCUACGGUUGAGGACGGCGGGGGGAGUUACGCCUUGGUUCGUAACAACUCCGGGGGACUGAAGCUAAUACCGGAGAAGUACUAACGCGGAAGUCUUUAUCGCCGAAAGAUCGGGUCGUGGCAGAUUAGCUAGUUGGUGAGGUAACGGCUCACCAAGGCGAUGAUCAGUAGCUGGUCUGAGAGGAUGCACAGCCACCCUGGGCCUGAGGCACGGGCCAGAACCAUACGGGAGGGAGCAGAGGGGAAUAUUAGACAAGGGGCGCAAGUCUGAUACAGCCAUGCCGUGUAAGUGAUGAAGGGCUUAGGGUUGUAAAGGUAUUUUGUCCGGGAAGAUAAUGACUGUACCGGAAGAAUAAGCCCCGGCUAACUUCGUG